ensembl:snoRNA
UCUCUCUGUGUGUGUGUUUGUUCAACUGGUGGACAAAGACAUGAAAGACAGGUGGAUAAAUAAAUCUUCUUUUACAAUGCAUAACUCAUUGAUUAGUAUGAGUUUGGAUUCUUACAAGAAGGACUAUG